rnacentral:rRNA from 1 species
AUUGCCUCAGUAACGGCGAGUGAAGCGGCAACAGCUCAAAUUUGAAAUCUGGCCUCUUUGGGGUCCGAGUUGUAAUUUGUAGAGGAUGUUUCGGGUACCGCCUCGGUUUAAAUUUCUUGGAACAGAAUGUCAGAGAGGGUGAGAAUCCCGUCUUGGACCGGCGGUAGGGCCCAUGUGAAACUCCUUCGACGAGUCGAGUUGUUUGGGAAUGCAGCUCAAAAUGGGUGGUAAAUUUCAUCUAAAGCUAAAUAUUGGCCAGAGACCGAUAGCGCACAAGUAGAGUGAUCGAAAGAUGAAAAGCACUUUGAAAAGAGAGUUAAACAGUAUGUGAAAUUGUUGAAAGGGAAGCGCUUACAACCAGACUUGCGCGCGGCGGUUCCCCCUUCCUUUUGGUUGGGCUACUCCGUCGUGUCCAGGCCAACAUCGGUUCUGGGGGUCGGUUAAAGACCCUGGGAAUGUAUCUACCCUUCGGGCGUAGACUUAUAGCUCAGGGUGUCAUGCGACCUCCCGGGACCGAGGAACGCGCUUCGGCUCGGAUGUUGGCGUAAUGGUUGUCAGCGACCCGUCUUGAAACACGGACCAAGGAGUCUAACAUCUAUGCGAGUGUUUGGGUGUCAAACCCGGAACGCGAAAUGAAAGUGAACGGAGGUAGGAAGCCUUGGCUGCACUAUCGACCGAUCCUGAUGUCUUCGGAUGGAUUUGAGUAAGAGCAUAGCUGUUGGGACCCGAAAGAUGGUGAACUAUGCCUGAAUAGGGUGAAGCCAGAGGAAACUCUGGUGGAGGCUCGCAGCGGUUCUGACGUGCAAAUCGAUCGUCAAAUUUGGGUAUAGGGGCGAAAGACUAAUCGAACCAUC